GCUAUAGCUCAGUGGUAGAUCAUCUGCUUUGCAUACAGAAGGUCCCAAGUUCAAUCCAGGUAGGACUG